CCUACGGGUGGCAGCAGUCGAGAAUCAUUCACAAUGGGGGAAACCCUGAUGGUGCGACGCCGCGUGGGGGAAUGAAGGUCUUCGGAUUGUAAACCCCUGUCAUGUGGGAGCAAAUUAAAAAGAUAGUACCACAAGAGGAAGAGACGGCUAACUCUGUGCCAGCAGCCGCGGUAAUACAGAGGUCUCAAGCGUUGUUCGGAAUCACUGGGCGUAAAGCGUGCGUAGGCUGUUUCGUAAGUCGUGUGUGAAAAGAGCGGGCUCAACCCGCGGAAGGCACAGGAUACUGCGAGACUAGAGUAAUGGGGGGGGAACCGGAAUUCUCGGUGUAGCAGUGAAAUGCGUAGAUAUCGAGCGGAACACUCGUGGCGAAGGCGGGUUCCUGGACAUUAACUGACGCUGAGGCACGAAGGCCAGGGGAGCGAAAGGGAUUAGAUACCCGGGUAGUC
rnacentral:rRNA from 1 species